rnacentral:rRNA from 1 species
CAGUUCGGAUUGUAGGCUGAAACUCGCCUACAUGAAGCUGGAGUUACUAGUAAUCGCAGAUCAGAAUGCUGCGGUGGACUGCGUUCCCGGGUCUUGUACCACACCGCCCGUCACACCACGGAAGUUGGGGCGCCCGAAGCCACUUAGCUAACCCAUUUGGGAAGCGAGUGUCGAAGGUGAAAUCAAUAACUGGGGUGAAGUCGUAACAAGGUAGC